GUGGCGAGUAAAGUGGCGCACGGGUGAGUAACGCGUGGGUAAUCUGCCCUCAGGUUUGGGAUAACCCCGGGAAACCGGAGCUAAUACCGAAUAAGACCACGAUGACUUCGGUCGAUGUGGGAAAAGGUGGCCUCUCGAAGAAGCUAUCACCAGAGGAUGAGCCCGCGUUUGAUUAGCUUGUUGGUGAGGUAACGGCUCACCAAGGCUCCGAUCAAUAGCUGGUCUGAGAGGAUGAUCAGCCACACUGGAACUGAGACACGGUCCAGACUCCUACGGGAGGCAGCAGUCGGGAAUAUUGGGCAAUGGAGGCAACUCUGACCCAGCAACGCCGCGUGAAGGAUGAAGGCCCUCGGGUCGUAAACUUCUGUCGAGAGGGAAGAAACGCGUAAGGUUAAUACCCUUGCGUCUGACGGUACCUCCAAAGGAAGCACCGGCUAACUCCGUGCCAGCAGCCGCGGUAAUACGGAGGGUGCAAGCGUUGUUCGGAUUUAUUGGGCGUAAAGCGAGUGUAGGCGGUUUGUCAAGUCGGGUGUGAAAUCCCAGGGCCCAACCCUGGAACUGCACCCGAUACUGGCAGGCUAGAGUCCCGGAGAGGAUGGCGGAAUUCCCGGUGUAGGGGUGAAAUCCGUAGAUAUCGGGAGGAACACCAG
rnacentral:rRNA from 1 species